rnacentral:rRNA from 1 species
GACGAACGCUGGCGGCGUGCUUAACACAUGCAAGUCGAACGAAGUGGCGAACGGGUGAGUAACGCGUAAUCAACCUGCCCUUCAGAGGGGGCCAACAGUUGGAAACGACUGCUAAUACCGCAUACUUAAGGAGGGGAUUGCGUCUGAUUAGCUCGUUGGAGGGGUAACGGCCCACCAAGGCGAUGAUCAGUAGCCGGUCUGGGAGGAGGAACGGCCACAUUGGGAACGGGACACGGCCCAGACCCCUACGGGAGGGAGCAGGGGGGAAUCUUUCGCAAUGGACGAAAAGCUGACUGCGCCACGCCGGGGGAGUGAUGACGGCCUUCGGGUUGUAAAGCUCUGUUAAUCGGGACGCGGUACCGGAAUAGAAAGCCACGGCUAACUACGUGCCAGCAGCCGCGGUAAUUC